GUCCCUCUAGUGUAAUGGAUAGCACGUUGAACUUCUAAUCCAAAGGUCGUGGGUUCGAAUCCCACCUGGGAUG
rnacentral:tRNA from 1 species